rnacentral:rRNA from 1 species
GAAACCAACAGGGAUUGCCCCAGUAACGGCGAGUGAAGCGGCAACAGCUCAAAUUUGAAAUCUGGCCCCAGGCCCGAGUUGUAAUUUGGAGAGGAUGCUUUUGGCGCAGCGCCCCCCGAGUUCCCUGGAACGGGACGCCGUAGAGGGUGAGAGCCCCGUACGGGAGGACGCUAAGCCUCUGUAAAGCUCCCUCGACGAGUCGAGUAGUUUGGGAAUGCUGCUCUAAGCGGGAGGUAAAUUUCUUCUAAAGCUAAAUACUGGCCCAAGACCGAUAGCGCACAAGUAGAGUGAUCGAAAGAUGAAAAGCACUUUGAAAAGAGGGUUAAACAGCACGUGAAAUUGUUGAAAGGGAAGCGCUUGUGACCAGACAUGCGCCCGUCGGAUCAUCCAGCGCUCUGCGCUGGUGCACUCCGGCGGGCUCAGGCCAGCACCGGCCUUCCCAGGCGGACAAAAACAGCGGGAACGUAGCUCCCUCGGGAGUGUUAUAGCCCGCUGUAGAAUACGCCUGGGGGGGCCGAGGCACGCGCUCUGCAAGGGUGCUGGCGUAAUGGUCACCAGCGGCCCGUCUUGAAACACGGACCAAGGAGUCAAGCAUUAGGGCGAGUGUUUGGGUGUUAAACCCGCACGCGUAAUGAAAGUAAACGCUGGUGAGAGCUUCGGCGCAUCAUCGACCGAUCCUGAAGUACUCGGAUGGAUUUGAGUAGGAGCCUUACCGCUUGGACCCGAAAGUUGAUGAACUAUGCCUGUAUAGGGUGAAGCCAGAGGAAACUCUGGUGGAGGCUCGCAGCGGUUCUGACGUGCAAAUCGAUCGUCAAAUAUGGGCAUGGGGGCGAAAGACUAAUCGAAUCAACUAGUAGCUGGUU